AGCGAACGCUGGCGGCAGGCCUAACACAUGCAAGUUGAACGAAGUCUUCGGACUUAGUGGCGGACGGGUGAGUAACACGUGGGAACGUGCCUUUAGGUUCGGAAUAACUCAGGGAAACUUGUGCUAAUACCGAAUGUGCCCUUCGGGGGAAAGAUUUAUCGCCUUUAGAGCGGCCCGCGUCUGAUUAGCUAGUUGGUGAGGUAUAGGCUCACCAAGGCUACGAUCAGUAGCUGGUCUGAGAGGAUGACCAGCCACAUUGGGACUGAGACACGGCCCAAACUCCUACGGGAGGCAGCAGUGGGGAAUCUUGCGCAAUGGGCGAAAGCCUGACGCAGCCAUGCCGCGUGGAUGAUGAAGGUCUUAGGAUUGUAAAAUCCUUUCACCGGUGAAGAUAAUGACUGUAGCCGGAGAAGAAGCCCCGGCUAACUUCGUGCCAGCCGCCGCAGUAAUAC
rnacentral:rRNA from 1 species